rnacentral:lncRNA from 1 species
UCAAGCUACACUUGAAAAUGUAUGUAAUUAUUAAUGUAUUUGCUUACCCACUUUAAACCAUCAGAAAGUGCUUAUAAUAACUUCCAGUUGUGCUCUGUAGUUGGUUUGGAUUAAUAAGCAGACACAUGCACUCUUUGUACAUUUAAUAAUGCUACACUGCUAAUAGUUGUCAUAAACAUCCUUUAUUUGUAUACAAAUACCAUACAAAAGCUGCAAACAAAACACAUAUAGAAAAUAUAUCAUCAUAAUCAUGUCUAUUCACUUUCACAUUACAUGUGUAGAAAAAGAGUGAAUGUGCUCACAUGGAAGAAAACGGACGGUGCUCUACAAAUCACAUAAUUCAGUGGACAAUUAAUAGAAAUAAUAUUCUGUAUAAAGAACAAGUGAGAAUAUGUUCUCAAAUAACGAUAACAAUAAGGCCAUGAUUGAACGAAAAAAAAAAUGUGUGUGGCAAGAAAUGUGUCACCGUAGGAUGGGUCUGUUCAGCUAAUUUGGCUACAAAUAUGUGGGGCACAUUUUUCCAUAGCACAAGAGAGAUAACACAAUUUAAAAUAGACAGGAAAUGUCUCACUUGUUUAUUUUUUUAGUCUCUAACUAACCUAAACCUACAAUAGAAGUGCUUAGAAGAAUACUUUGUAUUUACAGUAGUGUUUUGCAUGCAUGGAAACCACUGUGCAUAAUUUAUUUAUUAUUAUUUUUUAACACCCAACAGGAGGCUUAAAACAUAAAAUGAAUUUUUCCUUGUCUUCUGCCAUACAUGUCACAGUUCAUGCACUGACAAGAUCACCAGUGGAGGCCCUUAGGACUGUGUGUGUGGCUCCAUCAGAUAAACAGUGUUGUCUGGACAUACUGCAGCUACAGUGUGAUCUACAGCUCAAGUGGCACCAUUCCCAAAAGACCAAAGUCACCUGCUUGCACUUUCUUUUCCAACACCAUCUCUUCAAUGUAAAUCUCCCAAUGCCUUUGACAAUAAAGCAGGCUACACUUUCCAUGAAUCUGAAAGCAGGCUGGCACUUGUUGUAUCAUUCAUACCAUUUUUAUAGUAAUUCCAUAUGUAAAUAA